ACCGUCAGCAGUUGCUGUAAUAGUAAUUCAGCUCAACAUGCUGUGCCCUUGUGCCGGUCAGCUUUUAUAUAUUUAAAAAAAAAAAAAAAAUUAUAUAUUACACAUCUAUAAAAAUAUUUAAAUUUUCAUGUAUUUUUAUUUAAAAAAAUGAAAUAGUAAAGUUUACUAAAAUAAAAAUGAUGUGGCAUUUCUUGAACGACUAAAUGAAUGCACCCAUACAUAUUAUGUUUGUGGAAAUGUCCCUGACACAAAAAUGCAUGCAUGUCUGUGCCUCAGCAGAAUGUGGGUCCAUCUUUAAGGAACAUUUUUAGGUACAACUUCAAGAUGUCUGAAAAAUGAAAUAAAGCAAAUGCAGUUUUAGAAGUGCUUCAGUGGAGCCCUGGUGGUGUAGUGGUUAAGAGCUUGACUGCUAAAUACUUAGAAACCCUAAGGGAGAGUUCUGCUGUGCCCGAUAGGGUUCACCAUAAGUCAGAAUUGACCGGCUGGCAACGGGUUUGGCUUGGUUAUCUGCCUUUUCCUCUUUCCUUCUGUAAUGCUGUACACGUGACUUACUGCUUUACGCUUUCCCUGUCCCAGGUGUGAAGUCCAUGAAACGCCUCCUUCUUGCUGUGCCCAGGUGCCAGUGUGUUUUAAAUGGUUCCACUUCACAGGACUCAAGUGGCUCAGCUGGAACAAUUCCUACUGCAGAGAAGGGCCAGGUUCUCCACUUAACCUUUGUCUUAGAGACAGACAGUUUAAGAAUGAACUGAACUUACCUUGUUUUCCCUUGCAUGUUUUCCAAUCUCUGCCAUUCCUGCCUUCCCCUGCUUGGCGUGAGAGCAGCCCUGCCCAGCAGUGCCUCUCUGGAAGUGUGGCUGACUGGCGAGGCCAGUGAUCUGCUGCGCAGUGUGGACUGUGGGGUCCACGAUCAGGAGGAUACCUCACACAGAGGCCAUAGACCCACAAGGACCCUACUUCUCCCUCUGACAGCCAGUAGUUGGAACUCUACAUUUAUCACCUCAAAUUUCUAUCUCCUGGCUGGGCCGUUUUCAAGAACCAUCAUCAGUCUUCAAACAGAUUAAAAGGUGACUGAGGUGAGCGCCUCUGAAGGACCAAGGCAGGGGCACACAGGCGAGCCUCCCUGCCAGUCACCCCUGUGCUGGUUUGGGGCCAUGCCAUGCCCUUUCCUGUCUGCCCACUGCUGUCUCUGGUGACCAUUCCCCCUCCCAGAUAAGUGCACAUAAUGUGAUGAUGUUAAGCUGAACUAUUUGAAUAAAUCGGAUUCUUUUGCCCAAUCUCAGAAAAAAGGCUGUAGUUAUUUUAACAACAACAACAAAAUAUCCUGCAGUCUUCAGCUAUUUCUGAAUGUAGACUGGUAAUUAGCAUGCCGUUUGCAAUUCAUUGCUGUCUCUGGCUUUGUUUCCUCAUUCCAACACAGCAGUUUGGGUGACUGGGUUUAUUUCAUUUGGAAAUGUGAUUUUGUGGAGACCUAUAAAAUGCUACCAUGAGAUUAAUUGUUUUCCGUAGCCAAAGUUUGCCAAACUUGGUGUUUGCUAGUGCCCAGUAGCUCUGGAAAGGAGUAACAGCUUGCUAGAAUGGUACUUAGUUUCAGAGGAAACUGUUAGAAGCAACUGCUUUAAGAAGGCUUGGUGCUACCUGAGGAAGUGAUGCUUGCCUAUGUUGGUGUUAUUCCUAGCAAUUGUUUUCAAUUUUAGUUCAUUUCUUUACUGGUGUGAGUAGAGGCCACGUGCAGAUGAUGUCUUUCCUUGCAGUAACUUUUGAGGGAAUGAACAUGCAUGCUGGAAGUGAGUGGCUUCUGGAGGCCCUUUGUGCCCAGUAAGGAUGCUUGGUUGCCCUACAGGUGCAGGGAAAGAAGGUGAGCAGUUAUUCUCUCUGCUCCAGUGCUGGGGCCUCCUGCCUGCUGUCACAGGAGAACUCUCUCAGGGUCUAGGAGGAAAGCUUUAGUUCUUUGUUUUUUAAAAAGAUUUACUGGUAUGAACAGAUGAAUUCUCUAGAUUUCUCCAGUGACCUGGAGCUGCCUCACCAAGCCGCCCAUUUGACCCUAGAAUUGCCAGCCAAAAACCAAAAACCUAACCCAUUACCGUCGAGUCAAUUCCAACUCAUAGCGACCCUACAGGAAGGACAGAGUAGAACUGCCCAAUAGGGUUUCCGUGGAGCACCUGGUGGAUUCAAACUGCCAAGCUUUGGGUUAACAGCCAUUGCAGUUAACCACUACGCCACCAGGGUUUCCAAGAGUUGCCAACAGUCAAGCCAAAUGUGGGAUGGGUAAAGGGAGAGGUUGGCUCAUUCUGGGCUGAGGCAUGGAGGAUUGGCUUGUCCCCUUCUUGUAUUUCCCAGGUGUCUUCUUGUGCCCACUGAGGGGGAGAGAGAGCGACCUUGCCCUCAGAGGACUUUGCUUUUGAUGAUUGAAAAAGGGAGCUAUUUUAUGCGUGAGUUGAAUCCUUUUAAUGAAAUCCCCCUUCCCCUCACUCACCAAGAUAUUACAAAAGAGGGAGGAAGCUAAAAAAAUUCUCUUAUGAAUGGGAAGCAAGUAUAUUGUUCUGUGGAUGUCUUGAUAAAAGGGUUUAGAGAGAUAACUAUGAGGUCCUUAUCAUAAAAGAGUUAAAACAGGUCUAGGUGCUCUCCUGUAAGAUAAGAAGGAAGGAGCCUUGGUUGUGUGGAGGCCAGGUAGGCAGGCGAAGCUGCGCACUGCAGGAAAAGCUGUUUCUGGGGGUCUUAAGGCAAAGGUAAGCACUGGCCUUCUAGCAGGAUCUGCUUGGUUCUGCAUCAAAGCCAGGGCGUACCCAGGUGUUGUGUGGUUGGUGUCCAGCGAGAGCUAGGCCUUCUGGUGGCUGCUUGUCCCCAAAGACCUACAACAGACACCCUGCAUCUGGCCCUCUCGUCAUCUGCCCAGUGGUUGUGUGGGGUGUGACUGUGGGCGUGGGUGUGACUGUGGUGGGGGGGGAGGAGGAGAAUUACGUUUUCCAUGGAAAUCUCCUGAGCUGCUAGUUGAUGGGAGCCACUGACACACCCCUGUGCUGAGGCUGUGGAGACAGGCCAUCUCUGUAUGCCAGGGCCAGUUCUGUGUCCCUGUUGGGGGCUUGGCUCAGCCGGCAUGGCCCUGUGUUGUUGGGGGUGGCCUGCAGGUGUCCUUGGUGUGUUUUUACAGCACGAGCUAUGGGUCACCCUGGAGAAGUGUGGGGGAGAGGCUGGAGAAGGUGAUUGUCUUCUAGACUCACUCCUGAGUGAUUAGACUGCCAGCCCUCUGGUUUGAUGACACCUCAGCAUCAGUCCUUCCAGGUUUCCCGGUGCAGCUUUGGGAAAGGGCUUCCAUCUGCUCUAGUUUGAAGUUAGGGCAUUCAAGAAUAAUUUCCAUUUUUCUGAAGUUCCUUGUCAUGGAAACAGACUUGAGGGUAGAAAACUGCUAAAUUCAGCACUGCAAGAAAGUAAGAAUGGGGAAAGGAUCAACUAAGUAAAAGACAAAGCAUUGUCUGACUGAGGAGGACUCAGGCCUCUUAUGGCUCAGCCUGGUGACACAGAGUCUGGUAAGAAAGACAGCUGUCGUGUCAUGUUUAAAAAAAAGAUUACUAUUACAAUUAUUUUAUUUUUUCAUUGGGUAAUAUAUUCACAUGGUUCAAAACUAAAAUUAGUGUCAAAAGGUAUUCAUUCAGAAGCCUAUCCAGGAUUUCUCUAUGUACCUAUAAAAAAAAUUUGAAAAUACAUUAUUAACAACCCCACCCUUUGCCCAAAAGGUAUCCUACCCAUUUUUUCUGAACCUUGCUUUUAUCUUAAGUCUUUGAGAUCCCAUUGACACAUAGGAACUUCCUUAGCCUCCUCUUCCCCCACCGCCCCUCUACCCCUUCUUUGUGUUUACAGCUGUCUGGGGUUCCAUUUAAUGUAUGUACCAAAUUCAUUUCACCAGUCCUCCACUGAUGAACAUUUGAGUUAUUUCCAAAUUUUGUUCUUACCAACAAAAUACAGUGAAUAAUGUGUUUUAUUUCAGUUCGUAAAUGUGCAAGUAAUCUUCAGGGUAAAUUCCGAGAACUGGAAUUGCCCUUCAAAGAGAAUGUGUGUUUCUAAUUUUGGUUGAAAUUGCCAGUUGUGUUUCUGGGGUUCCUGUGGCAUAUAGGCCAUUGGCAGUAUAUGAGGGAGCUUGUUCACCUGGUCCUUGGCAGUAGUGUGCUAUCGUAUUUUGGGUUUUUUACCAAAUGGAUAAGUGAAAACUGAUAUCUAACGGUAGUUUUGAUUUGCAUUUCUCUUUAUUAUGAGUGAGGUUGUGUAUCUUUCAUGUGAUUACGAGAGCCAUUUUUAUUGCCUUUUCUGUAGAUUGUGCCAUUUUUUUUCUCAUGGAUUUCUAGGAGCACUUUCUACAUUAGGACAAUAGACCUUGCUGUGAUAAAGCUUGCAAAGACUGUUCACAAGUUUUUGUCAUUUGUCUCUUAGCUUUGAUUUUUGCUGUGCUGAAAUUUUCAAUGUUUCUGUGGUCAUAUUUAUCAGUCUUUUCUUUUGUGGCUUCUGGGUUUUGGGUCACAGCUAGGAAGGAAUUUCCAACUGGCUGUGGAAUCAAACCAUUGUUUAAGGUUAACAAAUGUUAGAGGUUCUCUUGGUUUUUGCCUCCUAAAUUUUGGAUAGAGCGGUAUCUUAGUCAUUUAGUGCUGCUAUAAUAGAAAUAACACAAGUGGAAGGCUUUAACAAAGAGAAAUUUAUUCUCUCACUGUAAAGUAGGCUAAAAGUCCAAAUUCAGGGCAUAGGCUCCAAGGAAAGCUUUCUCUCUCUGUCAGCUCUGGAGGAAGGUCCUCCUCCUCAGUCUUCCUUUGGUCUGGGAGCAUCUCAGCGCAGGAACCUCAAGUCCAAAGGACAGGCUUUACUCCUGGCACUGAGGUCCCCAUGUCUUUCUGCUGGCUUCUCUUUUUUAUAUCUCAGAAGAAAUUGGCUUAAGACACUAUCUAAUCUUGUAAACCUUAUCAGUAUGUCUGCCCCCAAUCCAUCUUAUUACCUCCUAGGGAUAGGAUUUACAACACAUAAGGAAAUGGCAUCAGAAAAUGAAAUGGUAGACAAUCAUACAGUCAUACAAGGGAAUCAUGGCCUAGUCAAGUUGACAGAUAUUUUGGGGGGACAUAAUGCACCCCAUGACAAGUGGAAACAGGAAAAUGAAAAAAAAAAAAAUUGGUAAAGAAGUUUCAGUUAUAUCUGAUUUUGUUUCAUUGCUUUGGUCCUCUCUUCGUGACUUCAGUUAAAAUAAUAAAAUAUACCUAAUAUAUUUUCUCCUUCCCAAAACUGGAGGGAAAUUUGUAAUUACUACCCAAAGAGGAACUACUAAAGGUGUGCUUUCCCUGGAGGCAGACUGGACUUGUCAGAGGCCUUUCCCAGCCCUUCUUAGCCUUGCUCCCGCACGCCCUGGUGGGAACAGAGGGUGGUGUAGGGGUAAGGCACUGGUCCUGCUGGGGCCUCAGGCAGACUCUCAGAGGGUCCUCCUGAAAUUUCUCAGGGUGCUGGUGAUCCUCUCCCAUCCUACCACACUGCAAUUUUGUGGGCUUGAUGAGGCUGAUGUAGCCAGUGAGAAAUGGGUUCCACAUAGGUUCUUUUCUGUGGAUUCUGGUUCCAGUUUCUCUUGCAAGCAGCUGUUAGACGUGCCAGGCCUAUUGGUGCUCAUCACGUGCAGAAUUGUUUUUCUCUGUGUGUGUUCACUGAGGGUUUGUGGGUUGGUUGGCUCGUGGACAGAGUCACAUUAACACACCGCAUCCCCUCGCCUGCAGUUCUACACCGUGUGUGAUAAGCAGAGGUGGCUCAGUGGUAGAAUUCUCACCUUCCAUGCGGGAGACCCAGGUUUGAUUCCAGGCAGCGCAUCUCAUGCGUAGCCACAACCUGUCUGUCAGUAGAGGCUUUGUGCUGCUAUGAUGCUAAGCAGAUUUCAGCAGAGAUUCCACACUAAGAUGGACUAGGAAGAAAGGCCGGACGAUUCACUUCUGAAAAUCAGCCAGUGAAAACCCUGUGGAGCACAAUGGCCCGGUCUGCAACUGAUCGUGAGGAUGGCACAGGAGCAGGCAGCGUUUCGGUCCCUUCUGCCUGGGGUCGCAUGAGUCAGGGCCGACUUGACAGCAGUUAACAACAACAAAGAUGAUAAAGGCCUGGAAGGACAUCAUCCUAUUUUUUUUUUUUUUAAUUAGGGUCAAACCCUGUUUGCUUAGCCCUUGCUCCCUUACGAUCAGGUCUUAU